UGUCAGCCGCCGCGGUAAUACGGAGGAUGCAGGCGUUAUCCGGAAUUAUUAGGUUUAAAGGGUGCGUAGGCGGCUUAAUAAGUCAGUGGUGAAAUACUUGGGCUCAACCGAAGGACUGCCAUUGAAACUGCUAAGCUUGAAUUCAGAUGAGGUAGGCGGAAUGUGUAAUGUAGCGGUGAAAUGCAUAGAUAUUACACAGAACACCAAUUGCGAAGGCAGCUUACUAAACUGACAUUGACGCUGAUGCACGAAAGCGUGGGGAGCAAACAGGAUUAGAUACCCUGGUAGUCCACGCCGUAAACGAUGAUCACUGGUUGUGUGCGAUAUAAAGUACGUGACUGAGCGAAAGCAUUAAGUGAUCCACCUGGGGAGUACGUUCGCAAGAAUGAAACUCAAAGAAAUUGACGG
rnacentral:rRNA from 1 species